GAAUGUGAGGGUGAUUUGUGGCAUCUGUCAUCCCACUGAUCUCCAGGGUUGAUUUGUCUGAUCUGGCUGGCUAGGUAGCUGUUCCCUUCCUCCUUCACCAUUCCAUGUGUGUCCCUCUGGAGGCUGCAAGCUCAGCUGGAGAGGAGAUGACCUUCCUGGAAUAGGGAUGGACUGGUCUUUGGUUUUUGGUUGAGGAUAUAUGAGUAGCUGUGCUCUCCUGCUAGAACCUCCAAACAAGCUCUCAAACUUCAGAAGUAUAGGUUUUAACUAUUUCUUGAAGGUUUUGUAGAAUUCAUUUGUGAAGCCAUCUGGU
rnacentral:snRNA from 1 species